GCGGCUGCGAGCCGGGCGUCUCUGAACCCCUGGCCUGUGAAGCUUAGUGGAUGGGGAGCCGUGAAGGGGAGACUGUGAGGAGCGUGCGAAUGAUUCUUAUUGAGUUUUCCCAGUGGGCGUGUGUCUGUGGGGUCGUGUACGGACCUGUGAGGAAAGGGAGGAAGACUUGAUUAGCGAUUAUGAUCGCGCGUGUAUGAGUGGAGUUUAAUUGUGUGAUCACUUGUUUUAUUAUGGUUAGCGAGUGUGAGGUUCCUUGAGCGUGUGUCCGCUUGGGAGACGUGUGUUUAUGACGUUUCCCAAACUGUGAGUGGGGUGUGUGUAGGAUGCUCUGAGAUUUAUUUUUCGCUUUCCUCCAUGUGUGUUUGUGAUAUUGUUGUUGUAGGGUGCGUGUGAAUUCGUUGCUGUCACUGUGUCCCCUAGGUGUAUGGUACUGAAAGUGUGAGGUUCCUGUGGACCCCGCGGUUGUGACUGUGUCCGUCUCCGUGGUGUGUGAUUGUGCGCGGCCGAUAGCAUUAGUUUUGGGUACCUCUGACGUGUGUUCCCUUGGUGUGUGUUUUUAUAACUAUGUGUCCUUAUCGCCAGUGUGUAAGUGGGGCGUCUUUAUGCCUUUGUGACUCCAGCCAGAUUUGUCCGUUCAGAGACAGAUUCUGCCCGGAAUUGCAGUGACCCUGAUUUUCUCUGAUGCUCCAAAUUUCUCUGUCCAAACUGUAUGUCGGGACAGUCGGGGCUGACCUAGACUGACCUCUGAAAUGGCCCGUCUGACCCCCAGAAGAGCCUGGUGUUUCCUGACUCCUUUUUUUCCUUCCCCAGCUCUGCGGUGCUUAGAUAGAGGACUCCAGAGAGGAAUUGAGAAUGGCUGUGGAACAUCCAC
rnacentral:lncRNA from 1 species